rnacentral:lncRNA from 1 species
AGCAAGGCACCGAACCCCAACGGGUAGUACGUCCCGGGCGCCGCAGCAUAAAUGGCUGCCCACUGCUCCGGGUGUGUGUUCACGGUGUGUGUGUGUUCACUGCUGUGUGUAUGCACUUUGGAUGGGUUAAAUGCAGAGCACGAAUUCUGAGUAUGGGUCACCAUACUUGGCUGUAUGUCACUUCAGUCACUAGUUUCCCCUAAAGGGGACAAUAAAGCUAAACAACCACAACAACAAAUCUUCAAGUUCUGUUAGAAGAGAACUGAAAGCUCCUGAAAGUCCAGGCCACCUUCAUCAUGGAGCACAGCUCCGAUAUUCUUGCCACCCAAACCAUCCAGACCCACAGCUGCCACCAUCUUCAGUCAGCUGGAGGACCUCAGCAUGCUGUUUGAGUAAAUGGGUGCACUGGCGUCCCAAGACUAGUGAGCAACUGAAAGAGUUAAAUGAUGGUGAGAGGUUCAGAGCUGAUUAAUGAAGCAAUGGCAGAAUGUUCCUCCAAGCUACAGACGAUGAUGAAGAGACAUGCACUGAACUAUUCAAAGCCCUCUCAAUCUUUGAUCCUGCCAAGAUCACGAUCGACUACAGAAUGAGAAGAGAAGACUACAAAAUGGAAUCAUGUCCAAAUUAUACCCUACAAGAGCGGGAAAAUUCGGACCUCGUGCUUGAUAAGAUAACAUAUGAUUUAUGAAUGGGUGGGACAAACAAUGCAACACACGAGAACCAAAAGGCCAGUUUAAAUACUCAGGACACCAUCAAAUUUUGCUUUUAGUUUUUAGCUUUCGUUUAGCUUUUGCUAUCAGUCAUGCCGGCUUUUAGCCUGCUCCUAGCUUUAGCUUUUAGCUUUAGCUUUUAGUCAUGCUUUGUCAUCACUUUUAGCAUUCUUUGAGCGCCGUUCCAGCGUGCUUCGGCCUGCACGCCUGCUGCUACUUAGCCACGAUGAGAAGAAACACCACCUAUUCUCGUCAAACUUUACUUCUUUUCUUUUCCGUUUGAGAGUUUCGUGUUCUGAGUUAAGUUUUGUAACGCCGUGUCUCCGAGUCUGACCUCGCGUGCCCGUCUGAAACUACAACCAGCCCACAACUCUGCAUCUUCAGCCAACGCCCAACCACGGGCUUCCCAAGACGUCACUUCAACGACUACUGAACUUCCAGCCAAUCAGCAACUUCGGGAAACCCCCUUUCA